rnacentral:rRNA from 1 species
CAAAGGGGGCGAGCGUUGUUCGGAAUUACUGGGCGUAAAGGGCGCGUAGGCGGUUUCGGAAGUCAUGGGUGAAAGUCCUCGGCUCAACCGAGGGAUUGCCUGUGAAACCACGGGACUGGAGUGCUGGAGAGGGAAGUGGAAUUCCCAGUGUAGCGGUGAAAUGCGUAGAUAUUGGGAGGAACACCUGUGGCGAAGGCGGCUUCCUGGACAGACACUGACGCUGAGGCGCGAAAGCCAGGGGAGCGAACGGGAUUAGAUACCCCGGUAGUCCUGGCUGUAAACGAUGAACACUUGGUGUGGGGGGUGAUGAAAGUCCCUCUGUGCCGGAGAGAACUCAUUAAGUGUUCCGCCUGGGGAGUACGGCCGCAAGGCUGAAACUCAAAGGAAUUGACGGGGGCCCGCACAAGCGGUGGAGCAUGUGGUUUAAUUCGACGCAACGCGAAGAACCUUACCGGGGUUUGAACUGCACCUGAACGAUCUAGAGAUGGAGAGGUUCCUUUCGGGGACAGGUGUAGAGGUGCUGCAUGGCUGUCGUCAGCUCGUGUCGUGAGAUGUUGGGUUAAGUCCCGCAACGAGCGCAACCCUUGUCUGUAGUUGCCAUCAGGUGAAGCUGGGCACUCUACGGAGACUGUCGGCGAGAAGCCGGAGGAAGGUGGGGAUGACGUCAAGUCCUCAUGGCCUUUAUGUCCCGGGCUACACACGUGCUACAAUGGGCGGUACAGAGGGCAGCGACCCUGUGAAGGCAAGCGAAUCCCAGAAAACCGCUCUCAGUUCGGAUUGCAGUCUGCAACUCGACUGCAUGAAGCUGGAAUCGCUAGUAAUCGCGGAUCAUAACGCCGCGGUGAAUACGUUCCCGGGCCUUGUACACACCGCCCGUCACAUCACGAAAGUGGGCUG